rnacentral:rRNA from 1 species
GACAGAGGGUGCAAACGUUGUUCGGAAUUACUGGGCGUAAAGCGUGUGUAGGCGGUCGAGUAAGUCGGGUGUGAAAGCCCAGGGCUCAACCCUGGAAGUGCACUCGAUACUGCCCGGCUAGAGUACUGGAGAGGUUGGUGGAAUUCUCGGUGUAGAGGUGAAAUUCGUAGAUAUCGAGAGGAACACCGGUGGCGAAGGCGGCCAACUGGACAGAUACUGACGCUGAGACACGAAAGCGUGGGGAGCAAACAGG